rnacentral:rRNA from 1 species
AUUGAACGCUGGCGGCAGCCUAACACAUGCAAGUCGAGCGGCAGCGACAACAUUGAACCUUUCGGGGGAUUUGUUGGGCGGCGAGCGGCGGACGGGUGAGUAAUGCCUAGGAAAUUGCCCUGAUGUGGGGGAUAACCAUUGGAAACGAUGGCUAAUACCGCAUGAUGCCUACGGGCCAAAGAGGGGGACCUUCGGGCCUCUCGCGUCAGGAUAUGCCUAGGUGGGAUUAGCUAGUUGGUGAGGUAAGGGCUCACCAAGGCGACGAUCCCUAGCUGGUCUGAGAGGAUGAUCAGCCACACUGGAACUGAGACACGGUCCAGACUCCUACGGGAGGCAGCAGUGGGGAAUAUUGCACAAUGGGCGCAAGCCUGAUGCAGCCAUGCCGCGUGUAUGAAGAAGGCCUUCGGGUUGUAAAGUACUUUCAGUCGUGAGGAAGGCAUUAGCGUUAAUAGCGUUGGUGUUUGACGUUAGCGACAGAAGAAGCACCGGCUAACUCCGUGCCAGCAGCCGCGGUAAUACGGAGGGUGCGAGCGUUAAUCGGAAUUACUGGGCGUAAAGCGCAUGCAGGUGGUUAGUUAAGUCAGAUGUGAAAGCCCGGGGCUCAACCUCGGAAUUGCAUUUGAAACUGGCUGACUAGAGUACUGUAGAGGGGGGUAGAAUUUCAGGUGUAGCGGUGAAAUGCGUAGAGAUCUGAAGGAAUACCGGUGGCGAAGGCGGCCCCCUGGACAGAUACUGACACUCAGAUGCGAAAGCGAGCAAACAGGAUUAGAUACCCUGGUA